rnacentral:rRNA from 1 species
UGNNGGUGCUAAUACAUGCAAGUCGUACCAAGCUUCUACAAAAUUGAUUUUAUGCUUGCAUAAAUGAUUUUUGGAUUCGGAGCGAGUGGCGAACUGGUGAGUAACACGUGGGUAACCUGCCCCAAAGCGGGGGAUAACAUUUGGAAACAAGUGCUAAUACCGCAUAAUUAGUUGGAACCGCAUGGUUCCAACUUGAAAGAUGGCUCUGCUAUCACUUUGGGAUGGACCCGCGCCGUAUUAGUUAGUUGGUGAGAUAAAAGCCCACCAAGGCGAUGAUACGUAGCCGACCUGAGAGGGUAAUCGGCCACAUUGGGACUGAGACACGGCCCAGACUCCUACGGGAGGCAGCAGUAGGGAAUCUUCCACAAUGGACGAAAGUCUGAUGGAGCAACGCCGCGUGAGUGAUGAAGGUUUUCGGAUCGUAAAACUCUGUUGUUAAAGAAGAACAAGUGUUAGAGUAACUGUUAACACUUUGACGGUAUUUAACCAGAAAGCCACGGCUAACUACGUGCCAGCAGCCGCGGUAAUACGUAGGUGGCAAGCGUUGUCCGGAUUUAUUGGGCGUAAAGCGAGCGCAGGCGGUUUUGUAAGUCUGCUGUGAAAGCCCUCAGCUUAACUGAGGAAGUGCAGUGGAAACUACAAAACUUGAGUACAGAAGAGGAAAGUGGAACUCCAUGUGUAGCGGUGAAAUGCGUAGAUAUAUGGAAGAACACCAGUGGCGAAGGCGGCUUUCUGGUCUGUUACUGACGCUGAGGCUCGAAAAGCAUGGGUAGCGAACAGGAUUAGAUACCCUGGUAGUCCAUGCCGUAAACAAUGAAUACUAGGUGUUGGAGGGUUUCCGCCCUUCAGUGCCGAAAAAAACGCAUAAAGUAUUCCGCCUGGGGAGUACGACCGCAAGGUUGAAACUCAAAAAGGAAAUGAACGGGGGCCCGCACAAGUGAUUUGAAACAUGUGGUUAUUAAUUACGAUGCCAUAACGCGAAGAAACCUUACCAGCUUCUUGACAUCUUCUGCCCAAACCACAAGAGGAUUAGGCGUUCCCUUUUUAGGUGUGACUAGAAAUUUGAACCAGGNUGGCUGCAAUGGGUUNAUUCAGACUAUAGNCNNCGCNNNNCGAUGNAANAAUGNNNUUNGGGNNNUANAGNUCCAUCGNNCAANCGNAAGNNCGNCUCACAANNCNCUNUNNNNU